rnacentral:rRNA from 1 species
UGGGGAAUAUUGGACAAUGGGCGAAAGCCUGAUCCAGCCAUGCCGCGUGAGUGAUGAAGGCCCUAGGGUUGUAAAGCUCUUUCAACGGUGAAGAUAAUGACGGUAACCGUAGAAGAAGCCCCGGCUAACUUCGUGCCAGCAGCCGCGGUAAUACGAAGGGGGCUAGCGUUGUUCGGAAUUACUGGGCGUAAAGCGCACGUAGGCGGAUUGUUAAGUGAGGGGUGAAAUCCCAGGGCUCAACCCUGGAACUGCCUCUCAUACUGGCAAUCUCGAGUUCGAGAGAGGUGAGUGGAAUUCCGAGUGUAGAGGUGAAAUUCGUAGAUAUUCGGAGGAACACCAGUGGCGAAGGCGGCUCACUGGCUCGAUACUGACGCUGAGGUGCGAAAGCGUGGGGGGCAAACAGGAUUAGAUACCCUGGUAGUCCACGCUGUAAACGAUGGAAGCCAGCUGUUGGCAAGUUUACUUGUCGGUGGCGCAGCUAACGCAUUAAGCUUCCC